rnacentral:rRNA from 1 species
GAUGAACGCUGGCGGCGUGCCUAAUACACGCAAGUCGAGCGAACGGACGAGAAGCUUGCUUCUCUGAUGUUAGCGGCGGACGGGUGAGUAACACGUGGAUAACCUACCUAUAAGACUGGGAUAACUUCGGGAAACCGGAUCUAAUACCGGAUGAUAUUUUGAACCGCAUGGUUCAAAAGUGAAAGACGGUCUUGCUGUCACUUAUAGAUUGAUCCGCGCUGCAUUAGCUAGUUGGUAAGGUAACGGCUUACCAAGGCAACGAUGCAUAGCCGACCUGAGAGGGUGAUCGGCCACACUGGAACUGAGACACGGUCCAGACUCCUACGGGAGGCAGCAGUAGGGAAUCUUCCGCAAUGGGCGAAAGCCUGACGGAGCAACGCCGCGUGAGUGAUGAAGGUCUUCGGAUCGUAAAACUCUGUUAUUAGGGAAGAACAUAUGUGUAAGUAACUGUGCACAUCUUGACGGUACCUAAUCAGAAAGCCACGGCUAACUACGUG